UUGUCUUUCUUCUCUUGAACUUAAAUUUGUCUUCAGUAGUUUUCUCUGUGGAGCAUAUCAUUUCAUCUCCAACAUAAAAUGUUCUAGAAGAGACUGAAGCAGAGCACGGGAAUCCGGGGCAAAAGAUGACAUUUUUGCCAGGGCAAACGUGUGGCCAGAUACCUUGGUAGUAUAGGAAAGGAGCCCCUCAGACUUUGGAAUCAGCCUCCACCCUCCACCCAUCAAGAGGAGCAAAUAGGCUUCAGC
rnacentral:lncRNA from 1 species